AUACUUACCUGGCAGGGGAGAUACCAUGAUCACAAAGAUGGUUUUCCCAGGGCAAGACUUCCCCAUAGCACUCCAGAUGUGCUGACCUCUGUGAUUUCCUCAAAUGUGAAAAAUUUGACUACAUAAUUUGUGAUAGUGGGGGACUGAGUUUGCAUGCUUCCCUA
rnacentral:snRNA from 1 species